AGCAGAGUGGCUCGAUGGAAAGAGCCCGGGCUUGGGAGUCAGAGGCCGUGGGUUCGAAUCCCGGCUCUGCCA
rnacentral:tRNA from 1 species